UGGGGAAUAUUGCGCAAUGGGCGAAAGCCUGACGCAGCAACGCCGCGUGAGUGAUGAAGUAUUUCGGUAUGUAAACUUCGAAAGAAUAGGAAGAAUAAAUGACGGUACUAUUUAUAAGGUCCGGCUAACUACGUGCCAGCAGCCGCGGUAAUACGUAGGGACCAAGCGUUGUUCGGAUUUACUGGGCGUAAAGGGCGCGUAGGCGGCUUAACAAGUCACUUGUGAAAUCUCCGGGCUUAACUCGGAACGGCCAAGUGAAACUGUUAAGCUAGAGUGCAGAAGGGGCAAUCGGAAUUCUUGGUGUAGCGGUGAAAUGCGUAGAUAUCAAGAGGAACACCUGAGGUGAAGACGGGUUGCUGGGCUGACACUGACGCUGAGGCGCGAAAGCCAGGGGAGCAAACGGGAUUAGAUACCCUCGUAGUCCCUGAGCGGGCUGGCAAGGCGCAU
rnacentral:rRNA from 1 species